rnacentral:rRNA from 1 species
UACGUAGGGUGCGAGCGUUAAUCGGAAUUACUGGGCGUAAAGCGUGCGCAGGCGGUUCGUUGUGUCUGAUGUGAAAGCCCCGGGCUCAACCUGGGAAUGGCAUUGGAAACUGGCGAGCUAGAGUGUGGCAGAGGGGGGUGGAAUUCCGCGUGUAGCAGUGAAAUGCGUAGAGAUGCGGAGGAACACCGAUGGCGAAGGCAAUCCCCUGGGCCUGCACUGACGCUCAUGCACGAAAGCGUGGGGAGCAAACAGG